CCUCAGUUUUUAGUUAGCUUGAAUCACUGGGCUGUGGCUCAGAAGCACUUCAUACCUUCCCCCCACCGCCACCUUUUUUUCUCUCUUUACAUAAGACAGAAUGGAUAGAGGGGUAAGGAGUUGUCUAACUGCCCUUCCGCAGGUCACAUAAUGCUCUGAUAAUAUUGGCUCCCCUGGAUGGUAAACUUUCAUUAUGGAGACAGCUCUGGGCAUAUUUCAAAAUGGUUACUUAUAUUCUAAGUAUAUUUCAAAAUGGGAACUUCUCUCCUCUGCCUGUACUAAAUACUAGGGAGAUAUUUCUGCAACUCUCAGUGAGUACCUUGUAAGGUUACUAAAGAUAAAACCCAUAGAAAUUUAGGACCACCACUAGGACUGGACCCCAGGAGUCUCUAUCUGUCAAGCCAGUGCACAUUCAGCCUGCAGAAAUUCAUCAAAGUUACCGGUUAAGUGUUUUUACCAGUUACUGGCUCCAGCCAAUUCAGCUCCAGGACAAAGAAGGAAGCGGAGGCUGGGGGACAAUCGAAAUAACUCUUCAAGUUUAUCAGAGUUUCACAUAUUGGCAUAAAAGAGCACCAAGGACUUGGAGAAUCCAUUUUAAUAUCAUCUAUCACCAAACAACACAAUCCAAACCCUCAGUUCAGGAAAAACAUAAGUUGGGUCAUUGGAUAAAGUUGUACAAAAAGAAAAAGACUCCCUCGAGCCAAUAUACAGCAUUGAUUCCAUUAGUGAUAGUGAAAGUCAUCCUACACAAUAACCCUCCUCUCUUGUCUCCCUCACACUAACCAAGUUUUUCAAAGGACCAUGAUAAGCCACUGAGUACCCUUGUUGAAGAUAGAAAAUAAAGUCUUCUUCCAAGUAGAUACAACCUCAUGCUGUUUGAGUGUCAUCAUGGAGGCAGCUGAGCUCCUAGAGGAAGGUCACUCUGUUUCAAGGACUUGUCAAUGGACUGCAAGCAGCCGUCAGAAAUGCCUGAGGAAUACCACAUGUAUCCCACCUGGAGGUGGGGUUUGUGCUAGCUUGUGCUUUGCCUUCAGCUUGGCUUAUGCUCCCUCAUCAAUAUCACUAUUUUCAGAAAUUUACAUUCUUAUCUAUGCAUUUCCAAUAAAAUGGCAGGUGGAAAAUCUUCCAAUUAUUUCUGUAAGUCUAAUAUGAUGUUCUGUCAAAUAUCUCCUAUUUACUCCUCCAGAUUCAUCCUCUAUGCCUUAGUGAAUGUUCUGUAUGAAUUAUGUCAUCUGGUUCCUUGCCUUCUGACUUGUGGUUGAUUUCAGCCAACACUUAGCCCCAGAAUGCGAUUGA